rnacentral:rRNA from 1 species
UGGGGAAUAUUGGACAAUGGGGGAAACCCUGAUCCAGCGACGCCGCGUGAGUGAAGAAGUAUUUCGGUAUGUAAAGCUCUAUCAGCAGGGAAGAAAAUGACGGUACCUGACUAAGAAGCCCCGGCUAACUACGUGCCAGCAGCCGCGGUAAUACGUAGGGGGCAAGCGUUAUCCGGAUUUACUGGGUGUAAAGGGAGCGCAGACGGCGAAGCAAGUCUGAAGUGAAAUGCAUGGGCUCAACCCAUGAAUUGCUUUGGAAACUGUUUGGCUUGAGUGUCGGAGGGGUAAGCGGAAUUCCUAGUGUAGCGGUGAAAUGCGUAGAUAUUAGGAGGAACACCGGAGGCGAAGGCGGCUUACUGGACGACAACUGACGUUGAGGCUCGAAGGCGUGGGGAGCAAACAGGAUUAGAUACCCUGGUAGUCCACGCAGUAAACGACGAAUACUUGGUGUCGGGGAGGCAAACUCUUCGGUGCCGCAAGCAAACGCAUUAAGUAUUCCACCUGGGGAGUACGUUCGCAAGAAUG